UACGGGAGGCAGCAGUGGGGAAUCUUGCGCUAAUGCGGGAAACCGUGACGCAGCGACGCCGCGUGAGGGAAGAAGGCCUUCGGGUUGUAAACCUCUUUCAGGAGGGACGAAGCCACUCGGGUUAAUAGCCCAGAGGGUGACGGUACCUCCAGAAGAAGCCCCGGCUAACUACGUGCCAGCAGCCGCGGUAAUACGUAGGGGGCAAGCGUUGUCCGGAUUUAUUGGGCGUAAAGAGCGUGUAGGCGGCUAGAUAGGUCCGUUGUGAAAACUCGAGGCUCAACCUCGAGACGUCGAUGGAAACCAUCUGGCUAGAGUCCGGAAGAGGAGAGUGGAAUUCCUGGUGUAGCGGUGAAAUGCGCAGAUAUCAGGAAGAGCACCCGUGGCGAAGGCGGCUCUCUGGUACGUGACUGACGCUGAGACGCGAAAGCGUGGGGAGCAAACAGGAUUAGAUACCCUGGUAG
rnacentral:rRNA from 1 species